rnacentral:lncRNA from 1 species
AGCACUGACUAGUAGGAGGGCCCGCCGGAGGAGAGGACAUGCUCUGGAGUCAGAAGACGGCGAAAAGAGAAGCAGAAGCCUCGGUGGCAAGAGUCCGAAGCAGGACGCAAUCACUGUAACCUGUGGAUUGUACUGCAGUAGGAAACUAUCCUAGCGAGGCUCUGCUUUGCCCCAGCUUCAAGCUGGAAAGGAGGAGAACAUGAAACGUUGCUUGAAGACAAUGGCCGAGACAGCAGGUCCCACCCUGCACAGCCACCAGCAUCUCUCCCCUCAGCCCUGUCUCCUCUUCUGCAGUUGGGAUCUGCACAUUUAAGCCCCAAAUUGUCCUGUGAAGUGAAGUAUGAUCGGACAGCCUCUUUUCAGCUUUUAUGAAAAUGGAGACAGAGGAAUUGUGGCUCUUGCCAAGGUCACAGGAUUGGAAUGCAGAGCCAAGCCACCCCAGGACAUGCAAGAGCCUCAGAAGGGAAAAAGCCCAGCAGGAAGGGAGAACAAGUAGCCUCUGUCCUGAGGUUGUAACAGCCAAGGGCCAGGAUGGAGGAGGAGGACCCCAUGAUCUGCCCA